rnacentral:rRNA from 1 species
CACGUAGGGGCCAAGCGUUGUCCGGAUUCAUUGGGCGUAAAGAGCUCGUAGGCGGUUCAGUUAGUCGGGUGUGAAAUCUCCGGGCUCAACCCGGAGGGGCCACCCGAUACUGCUGUGACUCGAGUCCGGUAGGGGAGUGGGGAAUUCCUGGUGUAGCGGUGAAAUGCGCAGAUAUCAGGAGGAACACCGGUGGCGAAGGCGCCACCUGGUCGGGCGACUGACGCUGAGGAGCGAAAGCGUGGGGAGCAAACAGG